GGGCGCAAKYCUGAUGCAGCGACGCCGCGUGCGGGAUGACGGCCUUCGGGUUGUAAACCGCUUUUGAUCGGGAGCAAGCCUUCGGGUGAGUGUACCUUUCGAAUAAGCACCGGCUAACUACGUGCCAGCAGCCGCGGUAAUACGUAGGGUGCAAGCGUUAUCCGGAAUUAUUGGGCGUAAAGGGCUCGUAGGCGGUUCGUCGCGUCCGGUGUGAANGUYCAUCGCUUAACGGUGGAUCUGCGCCGGGUACGGGCGGGCUGGAGUGCGGUAGGGGAGACUGGAAUUCCCGGUGUAACGGUGGAAUGUGUAGAUAUCGGGAAGAACACC
rnacentral:rRNA from 1 species